GGAGUGGGGGAAUCAAUAAAGCCACAUUGGGAGCUCAACUCAGUACUCUGUGACAACCUAGAGGGACCCCUUCAGUCACAGUGCAGGGGGCGCAUGGAGCCUGGCCGUCCGGUGGGCAUGGUGACAGAGGGACCAGCAGUAAUACAUCCGGAGAGGACAGGAAGUCAGAAGCCAGUCCCUCCAGACCAGGACACACGCCCCAGGGAAGCUGGAUGGCAUCGAAAGCCCCAGACCCGGGGAACAAAGUAGUCCCUGGUGGUUCCUAGAGCUGUUCCCUCCUGGGGGGUCCCGCCCGAGGUCCCAUUCCUCCUAUUUCCAGGCCCUCAAAGGCUUUCCAACCCACACAGGUACUUCCCUGCAAGUGAAUGCAACAUCUCCCACAAGAGGCAAGUGCCACAGGGCCCCUGGGAUGUUCAGCCCCCAGAGCUGGAAAAGAAAACCAAACUGAGUCUGUUAAGUUCUCAGAGGGCAUGUGGCCACCAGCCCACACUUUAAAUGCUCACCCAUGGCAAGGGGCUAUGAUGAAUAAAACUGCUGUAUCCAUUUGUGUGCAGACUUUUGUAUGAACAUCAGUUUCCUUUGCUCUGGGACAAGUGGCCAAGAGCACAAAAUCUUGUUGUGUGUUGUCGCAUGGGGAGAAACUAGCUGUUUUCCAGAGUUGGGCUGGACCAGAAAUUCCUUAUAGGAAAGUUUUCUUUCUAAAGUUUUGUUUUUAGACUUAGUGGGGGUACUGUGGACCACUCUGUAUUACCUGUGAAACUUCCUGUGAAUCUAUCAUUAUUCCAACAAUAAAUUGGAGAACACGACUCUAUUUCUAAAAUGAUGAUCCUCAAAUCAGUAUGGCAUUUGGAAUCUACUGGGUAUGCCAGAAAGUGAUGUAAGUUUUAAAAGUGUUGAUAUUUACACCAGCAUAGCAGACAGAUUCUUUACUGUUUGAGCCACCAGGGAAGCCCAUACACCAGAAAUCAUAUACCUAAUAACUAUACAUACUUAAUGAUUUUUACUUAAGGCCUCCUGAAUUCUUUCAGUGAACAUGUCAGGUAAAACAUCAGCUGGUGUAACUGCAUUCGUGACCACAGGGUGUGAAGGGGAUGCUUGUGUGGUCACGGAUAAUCUGCAGUGCAUGUCACUCAGCAGUCCUGUCUGAGGUCUGGCUUUCAGACUCUCGAACCAUGAGCAUCAGGGAGUCUGCUCUGCUACCC
ensembl:lncRNA